CCUACGGGUGGCUGCAGUCGAGAAUCAUUCACAAUGGGGGAAACCCUGAUGGUGCGACGCCGCGUGGGGGAAUGCAGGUCUUCGGUUUGUAAACCCCUGUCAUGUGGGAGCAAAUUAAAAAGAUAGUACCACAAGAGGAAUAGACGGCUAACUCUGUGCCAGCAGCUGCGGUAAUACAGAGGGCUUAAGCGUUGUUCGGAAUCACUGGGCGUAAAGCGUGCGUAGGCUGUUUAGUAAGUCGUGUGUGAAAGGCGGGGGCUCAACCCGCGGAAGGCACAUGAUACUGGGAGACUAGAGUAAAGGAGGGGGAACCGGAAUUCGCGGUGUAGCAGUGAAAUGCGUAGAUAUCGAGAAGAACACUCGUGGCGAAGGCGGGUUCCUGGACAGUAACUGACGCUGAGGCACGAAGGCGAGGGGAGCGAAAGGGAUUAGAUACCCGAGUAGUC
rnacentral:rRNA from 1 species